GUCCCCGUGACUCAAUUGGACAGAGUGCUGGUCUUCGAAACCAGACAUGCGCGUUCGAGUCGCGCCGGGGGCA
rnacentral:tRNA from 1 species